AAAAGGGGAUCAAAGAGGCUCAAUAUAUGAUUGAAAACAUGCAACACACCAGACCUUCCAUCAAUAAAACUCUAGAGUAACUCCUCAACAUAUCCACAAUCCUCAAAACGUAUGCAUUUUAUUAUAGAACUCUAUUUUUUUUUUCUUUUUUUUCUUUUUUUUCUUUUUUUUUUUUUUUUUUUUUUUUUUUUUUUUUUUUUUUUUUUAACUAGCAUAUAUAUCCCAUAGAAUCAAUGAACUAUCUCUCAACACACUAAAAUUAUAGGAGUACUCAUCUUCUCAUCUCGUCAUAAUCUAG
rnacentral:lncRNA from 1 species